UAGAGGUGGAUCCAGGAUCAGGUACAGGAUUUUUCUCUUGCUCUAGGGACCAAGCUGUGGUCUCCUCUUCGCUGUAACAUCUCCAGGAGGACCCAGGUGUCUUUGCUGCAGCUUCUCUCACCUUGUGACCUGCAGGUCCUAGGAGAUCUGUAGGACACCUUGGAAACAGAGAAAUGGUCCCUGUUGAAUUAGCCUCGCAGGCCGGGGCAACUGGCACCCAACGUGGGGCAAUUUGGGUCUGGGUUCCGAGAGAGCGUUGCUUCCUAAAGGCUAGCCGCACCUUGGACCGCUGCUUCAAGGGAGGAGCGAGUGAAGAUCCGCACCGUGAUCGCCACAGAGUCACCCUCCUGUGAGACAGAUCCGAUUUGGACCAAACCUCUUCAACCUCGAACGACAAGUCAGUUACCAACCCAUUCACUUGGCGCUUCUUCUUUACAGAAAACUACAAAUCUGAGGGUAAACAAUUCAGCCAACUCCUGGCUACAGCUGACUGCCCAACUGCAGGAUGCCAGUCACCUAUUUAUCUUGACUUUUCAGAUUUUACAGCUGGCACUACCUUCGCGCCAGGCUUAUGUUUUUUAUUUGAUCAAACUCACCCUAACUGUAAAAAUUACUGGUAUGAGCAAAAUGUAGGUUGUCCUUUUACUAUUGUAAAAUGCAUGAGCUCCGUUCCAUUGGACAAAACUAUCUGCUCACCUCAGUCAGUUAUAACUCUCAUCAGUUCUUUCACUCGCCAAACAACAAGAUGUAUACGUGGGUCAUUUGGGACCCGUGGGACUCACCAUGGAAGUCCCCGGUGAAGGGAGCCAUGUAAACGAAUAGAUGCAAUACAUGGCCUAGCAGCAAAUUAUAUGUUUGGCGCUCCCUUGUUCAAGUCCAAACAAUCCUCCAUGCUACUAUUCAAAAGCAAGAAAAGGAAUUAACUGCACAACUUUCUCCCACGUCUUCACAAAAUCCCUUUUCUUGGCUCUCCCUUCUCAGAGAAGGCCUUUUAAUUGCCAAUAUUACCGGCCUUGGCAAUGUUUCUGCAUGCUUUCUUUGUGCUGCCUUAGGGUGCCCCCUGUAAUAGCAGUCCCCUAUCCCUCCUCACUUAAUCAUACCCUUACAACCGAUAACCCUUUUAAGCCUAUUUUUGGUGUUUCCCUGUUCCUGACCCCUGAGCGAGAGCAAUUUGAUUUUUGUUAUUCUAAUGCUACUUUUCA